GGGGCAACUAAAAAUCUCUGGCCUGUUGAUCUCAGACUACGUGAGGACGUACGCAGCUGUAUCAGGUCAGAGAUGUAUGGGGGCGCCUGUCCUUGUAAGGCUCUAAAAGUUAAAACCAAAAUUUUAAAGUGCAUUCUAAAUUUAGGUUAGCUGACCCAGUGUGUUGUGAUUUGUUAACCGUGUACUCCACGUUGUCCAAAAACUUCAUGCCCAGUACCAUUACAGGCAGUAGUUGCAUGUGCUCCGGUGGAAGGUAAAUAAUGGUGUCAAUAUUGCCGUAUUAAUUUAAGGUCUGAUUACAUAGAAGUUAGUUGAGGCCCCAGCCCGGCUACGUGCCCAAGGUUCCCACUACACCCUUCAAAGACCAAGUGGUGAACCUGCAAGCGCUGCCCCUGGAGGAGGCAGACCCAGCCCUGGCUUUGCUUUGUCCCGUCUGAGCACUGAGAUGCUACGCAGACCAGACACAAAGCUUCAGGAACUCAGACUAGCUCUUUGCCUGUUACGGAGUCUGGCAGAAGGGGAAUGCCGUCUCUAAGCAGAGGAUGGCCCACUGGAUUGUGGAUGCCAUAACCCUGGCUUAUCAGGCAGAGGGUGUGCCCUGCCCGUUGAGGUUGCGAGCUCACUCAACUAGAAGUGUUGCAUCCUCCUGUGAGCUGGCUUGUGGCACCUCGCUGAUAGAUAUUAGUAGAGCUGCGGGCUGGGCGACCCCUAACACGUUCGCUAGGUUCUAUAGCCUUCGUGUAGAGCCGGUAUCCCCCUGUGUUCUCACCUCAAACGGGUAGUGGCACCGAGAGGCUUGCUAAAACUGCUCCAGAGUGUCCGUACUGUAGACCCUGUUGAGAUCCUCCAUUACCCUAGGCAGCUAGAUGCGUCGGAACGUCCGGCGCCAGGCCUUCAUGAUGAAUCCGUGAGAACCAUGGAAGGCUGGGUUCCAUAUUGAGACCUAAGCAGUACUCGUACGUGUAUAGUCC
ensembl:lncRNA